UGGUGAGGUAACGGCCCACCAAGGCGACGACGGGUAGCUGGUCUGAGAGGACGACCAGCCACACUGGAACUGAGAUACGGUCCAGACUCCUACGGGAGGCAGCAGUGGGGAAUAUUGCACAAUGGGCGAAAGCCUGAUGCAGCGACGCCGCGUGAGGGAUGAAGGCCUUCGGGUCGUAAACCUCUUUCGGCAGGGACGAAGCGAUCAGUGACGGUACCUGCAGAAGAAGCCCCGGCUAACUACGUGCCAGCAGCCGCGGUAAGACGUAGGGGGCGAGCGUUGUCCGGAUUCAUUGGGCGUAAAGCGUGCGUAGGCGGCUGCGCAAGUCGGUUGUGAAACCCCGGGGCUCAACCCCGGAACUGCAUCCGAUACUGCGUGGCUAGAGGUAGGUAGGGGAGAUCGGAAUUCCUGGUGUAGCGGUGAAAUGCGCAGAUAUCAGGAGGAACACCGGUGGCGAAGGCGGAUCUCUGGGCCUUACCUGACGCUCAGGCACGAAAGCUAGGGGAGCGAACAGGAUUAGAUACCCUGGUAGUCCUAGCCGUAAACGUUGGGUGCUAGGUGUGGGCGGAUAU
rnacentral:rRNA from 1 species